rnacentral:sRNA from 12 species
UUACCCUUUGCAAGGUGGUGGAAGCGGAAACGCCCACACGGCUACUGAACAGCCGAGGACACCUAAACGGAGGGUUUUU